rnacentral:rRNA from 1 species
AUUGAACGCUGGCGGCAGGCCUAACACAUGCAAGUCGAGCGAGCGGCGGACGGGUGAGUAAUGUAUGGGGACUGCCCGAUAGAGGGGGAUAACUACUGGAAACGGUGGCUAAUACCGCAUACUAUCGGAUAACCCAUAUGGGAUUAGCUAGUCGGGGGGGUAAAGGGGAACCUAGGCGACGAUCUCUAGCUGGUCUGAGAGGAUGAUCAGCCACACUGGGACUGUGACACGGCCCAGACUCCUACGGAGGCAGCAGUGGGGACAAUUGCACAAUGGGCGCAAGCCGGAUGCAGCCAGGCCGCGUGUAUGAAGAAGGCCUUAGGGUUUUAAAGUACUUUCAGCGAGGAGGCGUUACGCGCAGAAGAAGCACCGGCUAACUCCGUGCCAGCCGCCGCGGUAAUAC